AUGCAUACGGCCAAUUACCUCACAAAACAAAAAGUACUGCAGCGUAUUCUAUUUGAUGAAAGCGCAGAACCAAAGGCCCUAUCGUUAUCACUUCUGGAGCACAUCACCAACAGUUUCUCUGAUGACAAAGAAAUUGGCUGUGGUGGCUUUGCAAGGGUUUAUAAGGGAAUGCUUGACAAUGGCACUGUUGCUGUGAAGAAGCUUUGCGAUAUGCUUGAUAUGGAUGAGAAGAAAUUUAGCGAAGAAAUUCGUUGUCUGAUGAAGGCGACGCACAAAAAUGAAGUACGGUUCCUAGGAUAUUGCUCUGACAGACAAGGGGAAAUGGUAAACUGCGAGGGAAAACUUGUCUUAGCAGAUGUACGACAAAGGCUACUCUGCUUUGAAUAUCUACCUAAAGGCAGUCUAGAUAAGCACAUCACCGGUAGGCUGAUGUCGCAUGUAUUUGGUUCAAGCAUCCAUUUAUUUAGUGUUUAG
rnacentral:rRNA from 1 species